rnacentral:antisense_RNA from 1 species
GCGCCACGCUCCACGGAGGCGCCAAGCAGAAGGCCUGGGAAGGGAAGAGUGAGCCUUCCCUGGUGGAGGGGCCACUCCUCAGGCAGUGGGGAGACCGCCUUUUGCAUGCAACAGGACUUACCAGUUACUAUUGGCACCGGAACCACCAUCUGAGAUACAGGAGAAGACAGAAAUGGAAGCAAAGGAAGAUGGAAAAAUAGAAAACAGAGACCCCCAAGAGGUUGAACAGCUUGCUGAGAAUCAUGACCAGUUGGGAGGCCAGUUCUGACACCAGAGGUCCUGACGGCCAGGCCAGCACUGUUUUCUGUAGACAUGGUAUCUUCUAAAAGGCAUUUAUCAUUUUUUUUCCUUUCAGAAUUAAAUGAAGACUAAACUCCUGUACACGUGUUUGUUGGUAGAGGUCAUCACAGAAUAUGGCCACCAUACUGUGAUCUGCCAACCCAAUUAAGAUACUGGCCAUGGCUUCUAAUUUGUGUUUUACACUGUUCAGAGAUAAAUAUUUAAAAUUUGUUGCAUUGCAAUCUGUUUGGUUGUAAAGAUUUGACCUAUGAAGCAAGAAGUGUUCAUGAAUGAGGUUUAAGGAUGUCAGGGGUGACUCAGAAGGAAACGCGCUAGAACAGCAAGGAUCAGGGAAGCAGCGCUUUUCUCUUUGCAAGUCAUAAAAUACAAUGCCUGAAAGAGCUAAUAAGCCUUGUUAUCUAAUCAUGUCUAAUA